GAUGGCGUCCAAAUUACAGAGCCUGACAUCCGCAAACUGCCUUACUUACAGGCUGUGAUCAAGGAGACUUUACGGUUGAGAAUGGCCAUUCCUCUAUUAGUGCCUCACAUGAAUCUUCAAGAUGCCAAGUUGGGUGGUUAUGACAUUCCUGCAGAAAGCAAGAUUUUAGUUAAUGCAUGGUGGCUGGCCAACAACCCUGAUCACUGGAACAAACCCCAAGAAUUUCGACCUGAGAGGUUCUUGGAAGAGGAGGGAAAUGUAGAGCCUAGUGGGAAUGACUUUAGAUACCUUCCCUUCGGCGCUGGGAGGAGGAGUUGUCCUGGCAUUAUUCUCGCCUUGCCCAUCCUUGCUAUUACUUUGGGUCGUCUUCUUCAAAAUUUUGAGCUCAUGCCUCCUCCUGGACAAUCCAAGAUUGAUACCACCGAAAAGCCUGGACAGUUUAGCUUACAAAUAUUCAAUCACUCUACUAUUGUGGCAAAACCAAGGUCUUUGUGAUUUCUAUAUUAAUCUUCUCUUCGUGCAGGGUGUUUACUUUUUUUCCCAGUCAGUCGAAAAAGUAAUUUAGAAUUUGAUUGAUGACUAUAAAUUUACUUUGAUUAAGAAUGCAUGUGUUGUGUGUGUGGUGCUACAAACGUAAUCAAUAUUAUCAACAGGAUCUUUCCUUAAUGUACCUGGGGUUUGGAAAUCUUUUCACGUGAGUUGUACGUUGUUUUCUUGAAAUAAUUCUCUAUUUCAUUGAUAAUUUAGCAGAAGUACGA
rnacentral:lncRNA from 1 species